rnacentral:rRNA from 1 species
CUUGACACUGAACAUUGAGCCUUGAUGUGUAGGAUAGGUGGGAGGCUUUGAAGUGUGGACGCCAGUCUGCAUGGAGCCGGCCUUGAAAUACCACCCUUUAAUGUUUGAUGUUCUAACGUUGACCCGUAAUCCGGGUUGCGGACAGUGUCUGGUGGGUAGUUUGACUGGGGCGGUCUCCUCCUAAAGAGUAACGGAGGAGCACGAAGGUUGGCUAAUCCUGGUCGGACAUCAGGAGGUUAGUGCAAUGGCAUAAGC